rnacentral:piRNA from 1 species
UGUGUUCUUCUGUCAACAUUACCUCUGC